rnacentral:ncRNA from 1 species
CCGGGAGAGGUUCGCGAACUCCCUCUAUAAAAAACUACAAGGCG